rnacentral:tRNA from 1 species
GCAGUGGUGGUUCUGUGGUCCAGUUCUCACCUUCCAUGUGGGAGACCUGGGUUCAAUUCCCAGCCAGUGAA